CGGGGGGGGCAAGUCGUUGUUCGGAAUUACUGGGCGUAAAGGGCGCGUAGGCGGUUUGCUAAGUUGGAUGUGAAAACUCUGGGCUUAACCCAGAGCCUGCAUUCAAAACUGACAGGCUAGAGUUCUGGAGGGGAUAGCGGAAUUCCUGGUGUAGCGGUGAAAUGCGUAGAUAUCAGGAGGAACACCGGUGGCGAAGGCGGCUAUCUGGACAGAAACUGACGCUGAGGCGCGAAAGCUAGGGGAGCAAACAGGAUUAGAUACCCUGGUAGUCCUAGCCCUAAACGAUGGAUACUUGCUGUGACUGGGAUUGAAUCCAGUCGUGGCGAAGCUAACGCAUUAAGUAUCCCGCCUGGGGAGUACGGUCGCAAGGCUG
rnacentral:rRNA from 1 species